UGGGGAAUAUUGCACAAUGGGCGCAAGCCUGAUGCAGCGACGCCGCGUGCGGGAUGGAGGCCUCGGUUGUAAACCGCUUUGUUCAAGGGCAAGGCAGGCUUUCGGGCCUGUUGAGUGGAUUGUUCGAAUAAGCACCGGCUAACUACGUGCC
rnacentral:rRNA from 1 species